rnacentral:rRNA from 1 species
AUGAGGAGGUACAGUCCCCAAUACCGGAGUCCCCCAAGGAGGGGAUAUGGUGGCAGAGGUAGAAGUCCCCCAAGGAGGGGAUACGGAGGACGGAGGGAGCAAGGUUCAGGAAGCCUCUUGGUCCGCAACAUCCCACUGAGCUGCAGGCCGGAGGAUCUACGGGUUCCUUUUGAAAGGUUUGGUCCUGUUCGGGAUGUGUACCUGCCAAAGGAUUAUUACACCAGGUAG